GCGACCGGGACAAAGGAACCGGCUGCGCGGGAGCGCGCCUGAGGGAGGCCGCGGGGGGCAGGGCCGGGACUGCGUUGAGACAGUCGCCGUGCCUCAGUUUCCUCCUCUGCGAAGGGCGGGAGGAGUCGGACGCGCCCUAGAGCCCCGCGCGUUCCUGGUGUAGCCUGCUGGGCCCGUGUUCUUUAAGUUCCUCUUCCUCGGAGCCGCGCGUUCGACCCUCGCUCCCGUUUGUCCACUGAUGUCCCGUUUCGAGCCCGGGAGAUCCUGCAUCUCGGAAGCCCCCUGAGUCCCGAGGCAAAUCGGGACCGUGAGCCCCCCUACCCUGCAGGGCUCCAUGGGGCCAAAAACCACGUGGUCCUUCUGGAAGGGAACUGGCUAAGCCAGGACUGCUUUUCUGGAGUGAUAAUGUGCUUGCCUGUGUCUAAGAGAAAGGUGAAGAAUUGGGAAACCCAUGGGUGUCACGAAGGGUGGUGAGACUGGGGAACGUUUUAGAAAACCUGGUGAGUUGCGUCCUGCUUUUGAUAGAUUUAUCUGGAGGUACCUUUAUGGGGAACAGGGAUGAGAAGGAAAAGUUUCUUCCUAAGGAGUACAGUUUCUGUUUCACCUCUUAAAAAAAAAAAAUUUGGAGAUUGGGGCUGGAAACAACGUUUGAAAGAGAAGGAAACAUUCAUUAUGAGAAUGGCUGAACGCAUGUCGAUUCGAUGAUUGAAGUCUGUACCAGCCAAAAUCAUACUGAAACCCAGUAAUUUAGUAUAUGCUACUGGCAAGCUGCUAUCCUGGUAGCAGAAAAUGCUGUGGGUUCCGCUUGGUGAGCUGCAGCACCCUGUUGGGAAAAGAGCUCAAAAAUUACCAGAUUUAUGAAAUAGAAGUGUUUCUCUUGCAGGAGAUUAGGGACUGGAAUGCCCAUUUGGCUGCUGCCAAUCAAUAUAAGAGAAAAUGAAGCGAUCACAUCUAAGAAAAUUUGCUCAUUACUUACCAGCAAAAUCAAAACUUGAUUAGCCAAUCUGAAGACCUCUAGGAAAUGAGCACUAUUUUUCCCACUUAAUGGAUGUUCAAGCUUAAGAGGCUAAAUGAUGUUCCUAUAUUAAUAUCUCAAUGGUCAAACUGCCAUUAGAACUCAACAUUCUUGAAUUUUAAAGGUAUCGGUUUUACCAUUGUUCAGAAUUCAUCAGAAUUGGCCCAGUCUCAGCACAGAAAACUGUAUAGUUCAAAAGCAUAAUUGGUCCGUGCCUGAUUUGCACUACAAUUUCCAGAAUUUUUUUCCCUGUACGUGACUGGUGGAGGCACUAGCUAGUCUUUGCUACAAGAACAUUAUGAGAUUUACAUAUGCACAACUCUAAACUAAAUUAGUUCCUCCAGGACAAUUUACUGAGCUUUUUAACACCACCGUCAAGCACUGUUGCAAGGACAGAUAAUAGGGGCUCAGAUAAUAUCUGAUAAAUGAAUAAAUGGGUCCUUUUGCUCUCCCAGGACUGGGCUAGAGCACUUGACUAAACUGAUGUGUGAGGUAGCAAUUUGUGUACAGAAGUCAUGAGUUUUGAGGAAAAAGAAAUUAAAGAAACAUGUUCUCUAAAAACUGCAGUCAUUGGUCAAGAAUACGAGUCUACUUGUGAUUUCAUACAAAUAAUGGGUGGACAGUGAGCUAUGAAAUUUAUGAAUACUCUAAGCAAAGUACCCUGGCUGAUAAAUGGGACUUGGAUUUUAAAUACCAUUGGAUAAUAAAUGUAUGUGAUGGCUUUGGAGCAAAUUGAUUGACAAUGGCUAGGUAAGACUUCAGCCACUUUUCUAAGGACUGUUUCUAUAGACUAACCUAGAUAUAUUUUUCUCAUCCGUCACUUCCAGUUACUUUGAAUGUAACUCCUUCUGUAAACAUUAAAAAAGAAAAAGAUGAAGGGAUAGGGAUGGAAGGAAUAGAGGUCUCUGAUAACAUCCUAUAAUACUAACAUAGAAGUGCUUCUGAAUCAUAAAUAACUCCAUUCCUUUCCCUGAGAAACUAAAAUCACUGUUUUAAAAUGUGAAUCUGCUACUCAGGAGGCUGAGGCGGGAGAAGUGCUGGAGACCAGGAGUUCGAGACCAGACUGAACAACGUAGUGAGACCACCCCCGCCCCCGACCCCCAGCCCCAACUAAAAAAUAAGGACUAAAAUUAGCCAGGUGUGGUGGUGCAUGUGUGUAGUCCCAGCUGCUCAGGAGGCUGAGGCAGGAGGAUCACUUGAGCCCAGGAGCUAUGAUCAUGCCACCAUAGUCCAGCCUGGGCAACACAGUGAGACCCAUCUCUAAAAAUG
rnacentral:lncRNA from 1 species